rnacentral:rRNA from 1 species
GACGAACCGAGCGAACGUUAUUCGGAAUCACUGGGCUUAAAGGGUGCGUAGGCGGGCCCGUCAGUCAGGGGUGAAAUCCCACGGCCCAACCGUGGAAGUGCCUCUGAUACUGCGGGCCUGGAGGGGGAUAGGGGCGUGCGGAACUUCCGGUGGAGCGGUGGAAUGCGUAGAUAUCGGAAGGAACACCGGUGGCGAAAGCGGCGCGCUGGAUCCCUACUGACGCUGAGGCACGAAAGCGUGGGGAGCAAACAGG